rnacentral:rRNA from 1 species
CAGGGUUUGACAUCCUGUGCUCGCUCCUUAAUGGGAGUUUCCCCGCAAGGGGCACAGAGACAGGUGCUGCAUGGCUGUCGUCAGCUCGUGUCGUGAGAUGUUGGGUUAAGUCCCGCAACGAGCGCAACCCUCGCCUUUAGUUGCCAUCAUUCAGUUGGGCACUCUAGAGGGACCGCCGGCGACAAGCCGGAGGAAGGUGGGGAUGACGUCAAGUCCUCAUGGCCCUUACACCCUGGGCUACACACGUGCUACAAUGGCGGUGACAGUGGGCAGCUACUUCGCGAGGAGCGGCUAAUCCCAAAAAACCGUCCCAGUUCAGAUUGCACUCUGCAACUCGAGUGCAUGAAGGUGGAAUCGCUAGUAAUCGCAGAACAGCAGGCUGCGGUGAAUACGUUCCC